rnacentral:rRNA from 1 species
UACGUAGGGGGCUAGCGUUGUCCGGAAUUAUUGGGCGUAAAGAGCGUGUAGGCGGCCAGAUAGGUCUGCUGUGAAAACUCGAGGCUCAACCUCGAGAUGUCGGCGGAAACCAUUUGGCUAGAGUCCGGAAGAGGAAAGUGGAAUUCCUGGUGUAGCGGUGAAAUGCGCAGAUAUCAGGAGGAACACCGGUGGCGAAGGCGGGUCUCUGGGCCGAUACUGACGCUGAGGAGCGAAAGCGUGGGGAGCGAACAGG